UACGAAAGGGGGCUAGCGUUGCUCGGAAUCACUGGGCGUAAAGCGCACGUAGGCGGAUUGUUAAGUCAGGGGUGAAAUCCUGGAGCUCAACUCCAGAACUGCCUUUGAUACUGGCGAUCUCGAGUCCGGAAGAGGUGAGUGGAACUCCGAGUGUAGAGGUGAAAUUCGUAGAUAUUCGGAAGAACACCAGUGGCGAAGGCGGCUCACUGGUCCGGUACUGACGCUGAGGUGCGAA
rnacentral:rRNA from 1 species